AAGACGACUCUCCUCUCGGCAGUGGUAAAGUGACCUCUGUUGCUAACUGCUAGUCUGCUAUUGAACCAUGCCUCCUCCUGUCGCAGUGUCGCCUUUGAUAAAGACAGCCAGGUAUUCAGCUUUAAUUGCUGGCAUUGUCUACGGUAAACGGCGAUAUGAUUAUCUGAAGCCUAUUGCAGCCGAAGAAAGGAGGAUUGAGGAGGAGGAGAAGAAAGUUCGACAGGAGCAGGAGAGGAUUGCCAAGGAGUUAGCAGAAGCUGAAGACACCAUCCUGAAGUAAACCUCUGGACUGUCCUUUGGAGAUGUCCUCCUUCUUGUGCACUGUCCAACCUCUUCCUCCUCUUCCUGGAGUAACGGUGGCAAAGUCAGGCCACACUGCUUCACUGCUGUUUCAUGGAAGUGUCACUGUCACAAUGAAAACAACUCCCCUCCUCUGGUUUCCCAGAAACUCUAAUUUAGUUACAUGAGAAGGAAUAACUUCAAAUGCAGCUACACUCAGAAAUUUAUGUUGAUAUUUGAAUUGAAGAAAUUUCAUAAAUACAGAAGGACAUAAAAUAUAAAAUGUAUUUUUUUUUCUCCCCCAUAACUGUUCAGUUGAUUGUUGGUGCAACAAUGUUAAAGAGGAACCGGGUACAUUUACUUUAAACACCUUUCAGAUCUCUGGCUCUUUGUACAGCAUCAUAAAUAAUUUUGUUCUUUAAAUGUAUUAAAAAAUAAAUACAUGGCAUUGC